rnacentral:rRNA from 1 species
UACGUAGGGGGCAAGCGUUGUCCGGAUUUAUUGGGCGUAAAGGGCUCGUAGGCGGCCAACUAAGUCGGACGUGAAAUCCCCAGGCUCAACCUGGGAACUGCGUCCGAUACUGGAUGGCUUGAAUUCGGGAGAGGGAUGCAGAAUUCCAGGUGUAGCGGUGAAAUGCGUAGAUAUCAGGAGGAACACCGGUGGCGAAGGCGGGUCUCUGGGCCAAUACUGACGCUGGAGAAGCGAAAGCGUGGGGAGCGAACAGG